rnacentral:rRNA from 1 species
GCAGCAGGCGCGCAAAUUACCCAAUCCCGACACGGGGAGGUAGUGACAAUAAAUAACAAUACAGGGCUCUUUUGGGUCUUGUAAUUGGAAUGAGUACAAUUUAAAUACCUUAACGAGGAACAAUUGGAGGGCAAGUCUGGUGCCAGCAGCCGCGGUAAUUCCAGCUCCAAUAGCGUAUAUUAAAGUUGUUGCCGUUAAAAAGCUCGUAGUCGAACUUCGGUCCCUGUGGGCCGGUCCGCCUUCUUGGUGUGUACUUGCUCCACGGGGACUUACCUCCUGGUGAGCUGCCAUGUCCUUUACUGGGUGUGGUAGGGAACCAGGACGUUUACUUUGAAAAAAUUAGAGUGUUCAAAGCAGGCCUACGCCCGAAUACAUUAGCAUGGAAUAAUAGAAUAGGACGAGCGUUCCCAUUUUGUUGGUUUCUGAGAUCGCCGUAAUGAUUAAUAGGGAUAGUUGGGGGCAUUUGUAUUCCGUCGUCAGAGGUGAAAUUCUUGGAUUGCCGGAAGACAAACUAUUGCGAAAGCAUUUGCCAAGGAUGUUUUCAUUGAUCAAGAACGAAGGAAGGGGGAUCGAAAACGAUCAGAUACCGUUGUAGUCUCUUCUGUAAACUAUGCCAAUUGGGGAUUAGCUUAGGAUUUUUAAUGACUAAGUUAGCACCCGAAGAGAAAUCUUUAAAUGAGGUUCGGGGGGGAGUAUGGUCGCAAGGCUGAAACUUAAAGGAAUUGACGGAAGGGCACCACCAGGUGUGGAGCCUGCGGCUUAAUUUGACUCAACACGGGGAAACUCACCACGUCCAGACACAAUAAGGAUUGACAGAUUGAUAGCUCUUUCUUGAUCUUGUGGUUGGUGGUGCAUGGCCGUUCUUAGUUGGUGGAGUGAUUUGUCUGGUUAAUUCCGAUAACGAACGAGACCUUAACCUGCUAAAUAGACCAGCCGACUUUGGUUAGCUGCUGUCUUCUUAGAGGGACUAUCAGCGUUUAGCUGAUGGAAGUUUGAGGCAAUAACAGGUCUGUGAUGCCCUUAGAUGUUUCUGGGCCGCACGGCGCCGCUACACUGAACGAGUCAGCGGAGUCUACCACCUUGGUCGGAAGCUGGUAUUCUUUGGAAACUUCUGUCGUGAUGGGAUAAGAACCUGCAUUAUUUGUUCUUCAACAGAGAAUCCUAGUAGCGUGAUCAUCAAGAAUCGCGGUGAAUACGGUUCCCUGCCCUUUUGUUAACAAAACGCGU